GACGAACGCUGGCGGCGUGCUUAACACAUGCAAGUCGAACGGAAAGGCCCUGCUUUUGUGGGGUGCUCGAGUGGCGAACGGGUGAGUAACCCGUGAGUAACCUGCCCUUGACUUUGGGAUAACUUCAGGAAACUGGGGCUAAUACCGGAUAGGAGCUCCUGCUGCAUGGUUGGGGUUGGAAAGUUUCGGCGGUUGGGGAUGGACUCGCGGCUUAUCAGCUUGUUGGUGGGGUAGUGGCUUACCAAGGCUUUGACGGGUAGCCGGCCUGAGAGGGUGACCGGCCACAUUGGGACUGAGAUACGGCCCAGACUCCUACGGGAGGCAGCAGUGGGGAAUAUUGUACAAUGGGCGGAAGCCGGAUGCAGCAACGCCGCGUGCGGGAUGACGGCCUUCGGGGGGUAAACCGCUUUCGCCUGUGACGAAGCGUGAGUGACGGUAAUGGGUAAAGAAGCACCGGCUAACUACGUG
rnacentral:rRNA from 1 species